GAAUGAAAGCCCUGACGUUAUAUAAAAUUGAUUCCGAUGGGUUUUCUUCUUACUCUCCUCAAUAAUUUUAUAAUUCUAGGGCUCCGGCCGCUGAAGUCUCCGGCGUGCAUUCCGGCGAGCGGCAAGCAGAAGCAGCCGAUGGUCCGCUACUUAGGGCUGUAACUGACGGCGCUGGGCACCGGCGGCCUGAUGUCGAGCGUCUCCGGCUUGAGUUCCGAUCAUUUCGACGAGACCGACGGGGGCGAGAGGAAGAAAAUGGUGAAAUUUUUUCAGUCGUUCUUCUUCUUUAUCAACAUCGGGCACUCGGCCGGGAAUGGGCUACGGAAUCUGCGCCUGCGCCAUUGUCGUCGGCCGGACGGCGUUCCUUGUCGAAGCUCCCUUGAGAAUUGACCUCCAUUCUUACACUAUUGGGUGUUCAUCUUUAUUUUCCUGAGAAAAUUAGCUUCGAGCGGGAGAGAGAAGCCAUCGAUCUGGACGCCACUGCUGUUGCUCUUAAGAAUGAAAAAGAGAUGGAGAGAAAAAGGGAAAAAACCUCUGUUCCGCUUUGCCCUGUCUUUUCUACUGUGCCCACCGGACCGAGAAACAAAUCUUCGGGACAGUGGAAGUAUUAAACAGAGAGCUCACUGGAAAUACGAAGAAUGUGCUUUGAAAGGAUUAAAUAUGAUGAAUAUGACCACUUGUUUUUCACCUAUCAGAAUUCUGGGGUAAAACUUGUGUGUUGUGCCAUUCAAACAGCUUUGAUGUAGAUUCAGAUGAUGAUGCAAGGACUUGCAUUUGGUCUUAACGAAGAAACUUGCCUCAACAUUCAACACCAGUUGCAGCUGCUACUUCUCUUGAAGAUGCAUUCGGGAAGCACGGAGGAUUGCACGAGGGAAACAUAAUGGAUUUUAUCGACCGCACCAAAAUAAUAGAGAAAUUCUAAACUUUCAUUUUUAAUGUUUUUGUUUAUUUGCAUUGCAUUUAAUUUAAAUCUUUCUUGCAUUAAGCAUUAGCAUUAAUUUUAUGUCCCGGGACAUGCAUGCUUAGAUUUUCAUACAAAAUUUCAUACGAAUUAUUAAUCACAUACUAACUAUCUUGUUUUUUUACUAUGUGUAGGUAAGCGAUCGUGGACAUUCCGGGGCCGACGGGGAUGCAUGUGACCUACAUUACGAACAAACGGAGAUGCAUUCGGGAAGCACGGAGGAUUGCGCGAGGAAAGCAGAAGGGAUUUUCUCGACCGCACCAAACAAAAAAAAAGGAGAAUUUCGAAACUUUAACUUUUACUGCUUUUGUUUAUUUGCACUGCAUUUAUUUUAAAUCUUUCUUGCAUUUAGGAUUAGAAUUAAUUUUACGUCCCGGGACAUGCAUGCUUAGAUUUUCAUACAAAAUUUCAUACAAAUUAUUAAUCGCAUACUAACUAUCUUGUUUUUUUUUAUUAUAUGUAGGUAAGCGAUCGUGGACAUUCCGGGGCCGACAGGGAUGCAUUUGACCCACAUUACGAACAAACGGAGAUACAUUCGGGAAACACGGAGGAUUGUGCGAGGAAAGCAGAAGGGAUUUUCUCGACCGCACCAAAAAAAAAAAGGAGAAUUUCGAAACUUUUACUUUUACUGUUUUUGUUUAUUUGCAUUGCAUUCAUUUUAAAUCUUUCUUGCAUUUAGCAUUAGCAUUAAUUUUACGCCCCGGGACAUGCAUCCUUAGAUUUUCAUACUAAAUUUCGUACGAAUUAUUAAUCGCAUACUAACUAUCUUGUUUUUUUUAUUAUGUGUAGGUAAGCGAUCGUAGACAUUCCGGGGCCGACGGGGAUGCAUUUGACCCACAUUACGAACAAACGGAGAUGCAUUCGGGAAACACGGAGGAUUGCGCGAGGAAAGCAGAAGGGAUUUUCUCGGUCGCACCAAAAAAAAAAAGGGAGAAUUUUGAAACUUUAACUUUUACUGUUUUUGUUUAUUUGCAUUGCAUUCAUUUUAAAUCUUUCUUGCAUUUAGCAUUAGCAUUAAUUUUACGUCCCGGGACAUGCAUGCUUAGAUUUUCAUAUAAAAUUUCAUACGAAUUAUUAAUCGCAUACUAACUAUCUUGUUUUUUUUAUUAUGUGUAGGUAAGCGAUCGUGGACAUUCCGGGACCGACGGGGAUGCAUUUGACCGACAUUAGGAACAAACGGAGAUGCAUUCGGGAAACACGGAGGAUUGCACUAUGGAAUCAGAAGGGAUUUUCUCGACCGCACUAAAAAAAAAAAAAGGGGAGAAAUUCGAAACUUUAACUUUUACUGUUUUUUGUAUUGCAUUCAUUUUAAAUCUUUCUUGCAUUUAGCAUUAGAAUUAAUUUUAUAUUCCGGGACAUGCAUCCUUAGAUUUUCAUACAAAAUUUCAUAUGAAUUAUUAAUUGCAUACUAAGUAUCUUGUUUUUUUUAUUAUGUGUAGGUAAGCGAUCGUGGACAUUCCGGGGCCGCCGGGGAUGCAUUUGACCGACAUUACGAACAAACGGAGAUGCAUUCGGGAAGCACGGAGGAUUGCGCGAGUAAAGCAGAAAGGAUUUUCUCGGUCGCACCAAAAAAAAAAAGGGAGAAUUUUGAAACGACUUUUACUGUUUUUGUUUAUUUGCAUUGCAUUCAUUUUAAAUCUUUCUUGCAUUUAGCAUUAGCAUUAAUUUUACGUCCCGGGACAUGCAUGCUUAGAUUUUCAUACAAAAUUUCGUACGAAUUAUUAAUCGCAUACUAACUAUCUUGUUUUUUUUUAUUAUGUGUAGGUAAGCGAUAGUGGACAUUCCGGGGCCGACGGGGAUAUAUUUGACCGACAUUACGAACAAACCAAGAUGCAUUCGAGAAGCACGGAGGAUUGCGCGAGGAAAGCAGAAGGGGUUUUCUCGGUCGCACCAAAAAAAAGAAAAAGGGAGAAUUUCGAAACUUUUACUUUUACUGUUUUUGUUUAUUUGCAUUGCAUUCAUUUUAAAUCUUUCUUGCAUUUAGCAUUAGCAUUAAUUUUACGUCCCGGGACAUGCAUGCUUAGAUUUUCAUACAAAAUUUCGUACGAAUUAUUAAUCGCAUACUAACUAUCUUGUUUUUUUUAUUAUGUGUAGGUAAGCGAUCGUGGACAUUCCGGGGCCGACGGGGAUGCAUUUGACCGACAUUACGAACAAACCAAGAUGCAUUCGGGAAGCACGGAGGAUUGCGCGAGGAAAGCAGAAGGGAUUUUCUCGGUCGCACCAAAAAAAAGAAAAAGGGAGAAUUUUGAAACUUUAACUUUUACUGUUUUUGUUUAUUUGCAUUGCAUUCAUUUUAAAUCUUUCUUGCAUUUAGCAUUAGCAUUAAUUUUACGUCCCGGGACAUGCAUGCUUAGAUUUUCAUACAAAAUUUCGUACGAAUUAUUAAUCGCAUACUAACUAUCUUGUUUUUUUUUUAUUAUGUGUAGGUAAGCGAUAGUGGACAUUCCGGGGCCGACGGGGAUAUAUUUGACCGACAUUACGAACAAACCAAGAUGCAUUCGGGAAGCACGGAGGAUUGCGCGAGGAAAGCAGAAGGGAUUUUCUCGGUCGCACCAAAAAAAAGAAAAAGGGAGAAUUUCGAAACUUUUACUUUUACUGUUUUUGUUUAUUUGCAUUGCAUUCAUUUUAAAUCUUUCUUGCAUUUAGCAUUAGCAUUAAUUUUACGUCCCGGGACAUGCAUGCUUAGAUUUUCAUACAAAAUUUCGUACGAAUUAUUAAUCGCAUACUAACUAUCUUGUUUUUUUUAUUAUGUGUAGGUAAGCGAUAGUGGACAUUCCGGGGCCGACGGGGAUGCAUUUGACCGACAUUACGAACAAACCAAGAUGCAUUCGGGAAGCACGGAGGAUUGCGCGAGGAAAGCAGAAGGGAUUUUCUCGGUCGCACCAAAAAAAAGAAAAAGGGAGAAUUUCGAAACUUUAACUUUUACUGUUUUUGUUUAUUUGCAUUGCAUUCAUUUUAAAUCUUUCUUGCAUUUAGCAUUAGCAUUAAUUUUACGUCCCGGGACAUGCAUGAUUAGAUUUUCAUACAAAAUUUCAUACGAAUUAUUAAUCGCAUACUAACUAACUUGUUUUUUUUUAUUAUGUGUAGGUAAGCGAUAGUGGACAUUCCGGGGCCGACGGGGAUGCAUUUGACCGACAUUACGAACAAACGGAGAUGCAUUCGGGAAACACGGAGGAUUGCGCGAGGAAAGCAGAAGGGAUUUUCUCGACCGCACAAAAAAAAAAAGGGAGAAUUUCGAAACUUUUACUUUUACUGUUUUUGUUUAUUUGCAUUGCAUUCAUUUUAAAUCUUUCUUGCAUUUAGCAUUAGAAUUAAUUUUACGUCCCGGGACAUGCAUGCUUAGAUUUUCAUACAAAUUUCAUACGAAUUAUUACGCAUACUUAACUAUCUUGUUUUUUUACUAUGUGUAGGUAAGUGAUCCUGGUCAUUCCGGGGCCAACAGGGAUGCAUUUGACCGACAUUACGAACAAACCAAGAUGCAUUCGGGAAGCAUGGAGGAUUGCACGAGGGAAUCAGAAGGGAUUUUCUCGACCGCACUAAAAAAAAAAAAAGGGAGAAAUUCGAAACUUUAACUUUUACUGUUUUUUGUAUUGCAUUCAUUUUAAAUCUUUCUUGCAUUUAGCAUUAGAAUUAAUUUUAUGUUCCGGGACAUGCAUCCUUAGAUUUUCAUACAAAAUUUCAUAUGAAUUAUUAUUCGCAUACUAACUAUCUUGUUUUUUUAUUAUGUGUAGGUAAGCGAUCGUGGACAUUCCGGGGCCGACGGGGAUGCAUUUGACCGACAUUACAAACAUACGGAGAUGCAUUCGGGAAGCACGGAGGAUUGCGCGAGGAAAGCAGAAGGGAUUUUCUCGGUCGCACCAAAAAAAAAAAGGGAGAAUUUCGAAACUUUUACUUUUACUGUUUUUGUUUAUUUGCAUUGCAUUCAUUUUAAAUUUUUCUUGCAUUUAGCAUUAGCAUUAAUUUUACGUCCCGGGACAUGCAUGCUUAGAUUUUCAUACAAAAUUUCAUACGAAUUAUUACGCAUACUAACUAUCUUGUUUUUUUACUAUGUGUAGGUAAGUGAUCCUGGUCAUUCCGGGGCCGACGGGGAUGCAUUUUACCGACAUUACAAACAAACCAAGAUGCAUUCGGGAAGCAUGGAGGAUUGCACGAGGGAAUCAGAAGGGAUUUUCUCGACCGCACUAAAAAAAAAAAGAAGAAAUUCGAAACUUUAACUUUUACUGUUUUUGUUUAUUUGCAUUGCAUUGCAUUCAUUUUAAAUCUUUCUUGCAUUUAGCAUUAGCAUUAAUUUUCCGUCCCGGGACAUGCAUGCUUAGAUUUUCAUACAAAAUUUCGUACGAAUUAUUAAUCGCAUACUAACUAUCUUGUUUUUUUUAUUAUGUGUAGGUAAGCGAUCGUGGACAUUCCGGGGCCGACGGGGAUGCAUUUGACCGACAUUACGAACAAACGGAGAUGCAUUCGGGAAGCGCGGAGCAUUGCACGAGGGAAACAGAUGGGAUUUUUUCGACCGCACCAAAAAAAAAAAAAAGGGAGAACUUCGAAACUUUUACUUUUACUGUUUUUUUUUUUAUUUGCAUUGAAUUCGUUUUAAAUCUUUCUUGCAUUUAGCAUUAGCAUUAAUUUUACGUCCCGGGACAUGCAUGCUUAGAUUUUCAUACAAAAUUUCAUACGAAUUAUUAAUUUUAUAUCGAUUAUUUAUCGCAUACUAACUAUCUUAUUUUUUUAUUAUGUGUAGGUAAGCGAUCGUAGACAUUCCGGGGCCGACGGAGAUGCAUUUGACCCACAUUACGAACAAACGGAGAUGCAUUCGGGAAGCGCGGAGCAUUGCACGAGGGAAACAGAUGGGAUUUUUUCGACCGCACCAAAAAAAAAAAAAGGGAGAACUUCGAAACUUUUACUUUUACUGUUUUUUUUUUAUUUGCAUUGAAUUCGUUUUAAAUCUUUUUUGCAUUUAGCAUUAGCAUUAAUUUUACGUCCCGGGACAUGCAUGCUUAGAUUUUCAUACAAAAUUUCAUACGAAUUAUUAAUUUUAUAUCGAUUAUUUAUCGCAUACUAACUAUCUUAUUUUUUUAUUAUGUGUAGGUAAGCGAUCGUAGACAUUCCGGGGCCGACGGAGAUGCAUUUGACCCACAUUACGAACAAACGGAGAUGCAUUCGGGAAGCGCGGAGCAUUGCACGAGGGAAACAGAUGGGAUUUUUUCGACCGCACCAAAAAAAAAAAAAGGGAGAACUUCGAAACUUUUACUUUAACUGUUUUUUUUUUAUUUGCAUUGAAUUCGUUUUAAAUCUUUCUUGCAUUUAGCAUUAGCAUUAAUUUUACAUCCCGGGACUUGCAUGUUUAGAAUUUUAUACUUUUGAACACACUGUUGCUAUUCUUGAAUUAGUAGCCAAAAUCAAUGUAUGCUUUUACACACAAGGUUCGAAUAAGCUGUUACUGAUCAAUCUCCACAUAGUUUGGUUGAUUCUGUCUUUUCCUCUACUUGCACUAAUAAUUAAUUGCUUUUUGCAUUUACUUAACAUAAUCAAUCGUUCUAACUUGCCCUCCCACAUGUCCGCAAGAAGAUGAUGCUGCAGUUACCAUCUGAUUUAGCUCGUUUGUCGUCUACCCACAUGUAGCAAUGUUGUCUUUCAAUGAAUGAUUUUGUUGCAGCUGAAGUCGAGCCAAAUGGCAUUCCCGGAAACAGUUUCAUCUCGGGACUCCAGACAGCCAUAUUCCAAGAUUAGUAACCUUUACAGCUUAGCUCUCUUCCUUCCCCAUCUUACAUUGUUCAACCUUGUGGUUGGCAAGUAUAUUCAUAUGGUGAUGUUGUCCAGUUGCCAGGAAUUGUGUUCUUGUCUUAAAGAUUUAGUUACUCAGCUCACCUGAUCCUUUCUAUUUCUAUUUCUAUGCAACUUUCUGAUUUCAGCUGAAACAUUACAAGAACGAUGCUAUGCUGGUUUAAGUCACAUCGACUAUUCGUUCAUCACUACAAGUGUCAUUACAAGAACGAUGCUAUGUGGAGCCCCACCCAUGUUGUAGUGUGUAUAUAUAUAUAUACUAAUACUCGUGUGAGCGCGGCAAGUUUUUGUUAUGGUAGAAUAUUUUUUUGUAAUGUUUUUAUAUAAAUACGUUGUAUGAGUUCA